CCACUGACAAGACAGAAAACAUUUCCAAUUAGUCCUUUAACAGCAUUCUCUUCCCAGAAACAUUUCCCACAUUACCCCUUACCAUCCGGCACUUUUAACCAGGGUGACGCCGGCCCUUCCCCUUUUCCCCCGCCAUCAGGGUGAACAGAUGCUGCAUGCAAGCCGAAGCAUUUCUGAUGGCAUCGCAAAAAAGCCACCUGCACGCUUCCCUCUUUCGUCUACCCUUUUUAAAAAACACAAACAUUCUGCGUAAAGGACCAAAGACUCAUCAAGCAACAGUUGCUUGCAAUCAUGGAAAGAAAAGCCCACGUAACUCCACCGGGGAAUGAAACGACCUGCUGACUGCCACUAGGUCAGUUUGACAGCGGCAAAUAUUAGGUACUCAGCACUCAAACGCACCGUAGGAAACAGCUUGCUAAAAAUAGCAACUUAAUAGACUCCAGCCCUGAAAUGCAAAUCGUCAUCGUAACCUUCCCUCUCCAUGUUGUACCGACAGCUGUGCUCAGCAGCUGAGCCAUCGCACAACUCCUCACUGAACUCCCCCCGGUUCCUCCAACAGGGCCAGCGGUACCGCAGCCUCUCUCCAAACAGCCAACACUGCCAAAAACUGGAUGAAUUUUGAUACCUCUCAACCACAAAACUUUAACUUUCAGACCCCACCAACUCUCUGCUUCUGAGCAAGGGUGAAGCAAACAAUAGGACGAGCAGGGCCAAAGCAAAGCUCGGGGGAAACGGGCUUCUCCGGCGCAUGCCGCUCGGCAUCGCCGGCAUCCUGCCCCCGUUGCACGCAACCGGACGCAUUCGGCUGGCACGCACCUCACGGCGGCUUCCUGGUGCAACCUUACAGCUUUGCACACCCUGUUUACGUGCAACGCUCGGUGCGGAAGUGAAAGACCUUUAGAUCCAGCUCACUCUUAAACCAAGCCUCUGCCUCCUGCUACAGCCGAAACACAGGCCCAGCACGCCACCAACCCUAGGCAGAGGGUCCCAAAAGGCAGACCCAGAACAUCAUCAGCCCUAGGAAGAGGGUCCCCAGCCCCUUCUUACACCACAGAAUGCCUCCAGUCCUCAUCCACAGCACCUACCAGGCCUUAAGAGCCAGAAGCCCUCUCUCACUUUACAAGCCUUCACAUCUACAAAACAGGUUUCUUGCUUCCUUGUCUGCAAUACCAGGGAGCACCAUUCACACCCGUCCUGACCCGAUCUGGUGCCGUGGGCCAGGAGACGCUGCACAGGAUCCGUUAAAAAUUAAAUUAAUGAUGCUGACGGAUGGCCGCCCUGUACCUGCUUGGGUGUGGGAUCCUGCUUCCAGCCCCUCUGUGCUGGGAUUGCCUGGAGCCGGGAGCACUGGGAGCACUGGGAGCUGGGAGUGCCUGGCUCGUCCCCAGGUUUUGCUGAGGUUUUGUGAUGCCUGACGAGGGACAACACCAGCUGCCAGGCCCCGUCACAACCUCCCGCAGCAAAAAUCUCCUCUGUUUUUUAGCAGCUAAACUGCCCGUCCUGGUGUGUGUACGCUUAGUCCCUAAACUAGACAUAACCCUAAUCCUAAUCUUAACCUCAGUCUGGUUUUAGACAUACUCACAGUCCUGUAUUUAAUCUCAUUCCAAUCCCAGAUGGAAACCUAGCCCAGAUCCCAAUCGCAGCCCUAACCCCAAUCCCACAUUUAGACCUAACGUCAAUCCCAGACCCAAUCCCAGCCCUAACCCCAAACCUAGAUCCAAUCCCAGCCCUAACCCCAACCCCAGAUCCAAUCCCAGCCCCAUUCCCAGCCCUAACCCCCAUCCCAGCCCC